rnacentral:sRNA from 1 species
CUAUGCUUGAAGCUGCGCAAUCAGUCAAAAAGGACAGUCUUCCCCAAAUAGAGACAGACCGGUCUGAGGUCGAGAGUAUACGAGUAGCUGUGCUCCCCCUGCUAGAACCUCCAAACAAGCUCUCAAGGCUCAAAAGAAUAAAGAUC